UACGUAGGGUGCAAGCGUUAAUCGGAAUUACUGGGCGUAAAGCGUGCGCAGGCGGUUCGCUAAGACAGAUGUGAAAUCCCCCGGGCUUAACCUGGGAACUGCAUUUGUGACUGGCGGGCUAGAGUAUGGCAGAGGGGGGUAGAAUUCCACGUGUAGCAGUGAAAUGCGUAGAGAUGUGGAGGAAUACCGAUGGCGAAGGCAGCCCCCCUGGGAUAACACUGACGCUCAUGCACGAAAGCGUGGGGAGCGAACAGG
rnacentral:rRNA from 1 species